AUGAUCAUGUGUGCAAGAACAACAAAGAAAUGAUGUAAAACUGGCACUUAUAUUUAAGAGAGAAGCAAAGUGUAAAAGUUUUGAAAAUUUGCAGCCUGGCCAUGUGGU